UGCCAGCAGCCGCGGUAACACGAACCGUGCGAACGUUAUUCGGAAUCACUGGGCUUAAAGGGUGCGUAGGCGGCUUUGCAAGUGGGAUGUGAAAUCCCUCAGCUCAACUGAGGAACUGCGUUCCAAACUGCAAAGCUAGAGGGAGACAGAGGUAAGCGGAACUGAUGGUGGAGCGGUGAAAUGCGUUGAUAUCAUCAGGAACACCAGUGGCGAAGGCGGCUUACUGGGUCUCUUCUGACGCUGAGGCACGAAAGCUAGGGUAGCGAACGGGAUUAGAUA
rnacentral:rRNA from 1 species